AGUGGUUUCCCAUAUAAAUAUGCAUUCUUCGAUUGCUUCCGCUGAAGAUGUCCUAAGCCACCAAAGAUGGACUGCACUGACAAUGACCCUAAUAUAUAAGCAACAAGAUCAAGGAUGCCAACAGCAUCAAUGGAUGCAUGCUGUUGACUCCUGUUCCAAUGCCAAGCCACUUACUGGACCUCGGACAGCUAUGGAUCAACCAAAAAAAAAAUUCUACCUAGCUAUGACCUAACAACCUGC
rnacentral:lncRNA from 1 species